rnacentral:rRNA from 1 species
GACGAACGCUGGCGGCGUGCUUAACACAUGCAAGUCGAACGGAAAGGCCCUGCUUUUGUGGGGUGCUCGAGUGGCGAACGGGUGAGUAACACGUGAGUAACCCGCCCUUGACUUUGGGAUAACUUCAGGAAACUGGGGCUAAUACCGGAUAGGAGCUCCUGCUGCAUGGUGGGGGUUGGAAAGUUUCGGCGGUUGGGGCUGGACUCGCGGCUUAUCAGCUUGUUGGUGGGGUAGUGGCUUACCAAGGCUUUGACGGGUAGCCGGCCUGAGAGGGUGACCGGCCACAUUGGGACUGAGAUACGGCCCAGACUCCUACGGGCGGCAGCAGUGGGGAAUAUUGCACAAUGGGCGGAAGCCUGAUGCAGCAACGCCGCGUGCGGGAUGACGGCCUUCGGGUUGUAAACCGCUUUCGCCUGUGACGAAGAGUGAGUGACGGUAAUGGGUAAAGAAGCACCGGCUAACUACGUG